UAAUACGUAGGGGGCAAGCGUUGUCCGGAUUCAUUGGGCGUAAAGAGCGUGUAGGCGGCCAGGUAGGUCGGUUGUGAAAACUGGAGGCUCAACCUUCAGAGGUCGACCGAAACCAUCUGGCUAGAGUCCGGGAGAGGAGAGUGGAAUUCCUGGUGUAGCGGUGAAAUGCGCAGAUAUCAGGAAGAACACCCGUGGCGAAAGCGGCUCUCUGGAACGGUACUGACGCUGAGACGCGAAAGCGUGGGGAGCGAACAGGAUUAGAUACCCUGGUAGUCCACGCCGUAAACGAUGGGCGCUAGGUGUGGGAGGUGUCGACUCCUCCCGUGCCGCAGCUAACGCAUUAAGCGCCCCGCCUGGGGAGUACGGCCGCAAGGCUA
rnacentral:rRNA from 1 species